CGAGGAUGAGCUGAGUUGUAGAUGAUUCUCCCCCACUCUCUUUAGAAGGUGCUUUUUCCCUGAAGGACCGUGCUGGACUUGCCUAGCCCAUGGGCAGCAGUCAAUUGUCCUGCCCUUGGAGCACAUUUCUCCUUCCCUUCCAUUUUGUGCACAUUUCCGCCAGCUCCCUGGAGAACUUGGGAAAGACACAAAUGGUGCAAGUCAGAAGUCACCAGUUCGGCAUGCCUGGAAACCACGUUAUGUAAUCCAUGCUUCUCUUUCAUCAUCGCUUGAAAUACAGAAGAUGCCCAAGUGGUAUCUUGAAAGUGAACAAAUCUAGAACAAAUUGCAAUGAAGGAGCAAAUCAUGAAAGUGAACAAAUUCCACCUCCACAGACUGGACUUUUGAGGAUGAAAGCGCAUUGGAGCAGCUUUGAAAUGAAAGAACAAGCAGAAUGAACACAGCUGUGUCUAAUCCACUGGAUUAAAGCUGAAAAGAAAUCAUGUUUAUAAAAUAGUCUUGCCGGCAUGGGCUGCUUGUGUCUCAGCAUGCAGGGUCUGUUGGUUGGUGCCUGCUGCCAGGUUCCUCCCACGACCCAGCUCGCAGGGAGGCUGGGCUGGCCGGCGGAAUCCCCCCUGGAUAGAGUUGCGGUCUGAUUAUCUACAGUGACUUAGACGGCCAAUUAGUUGAUGAAAUGAAUUUGCAUCCAGAGUUCAGUGCUCCAUCUCUGUAGUCUUAGCAGCCAAGAAUGGUUCAGGCAAGAGCAUCAUGGAAACCAUGUCCUCCAUCCCAGUUCACACACAGUGAUGAUCUCAUGUUUCACCCCAGGCCAGGGUAGUGAGAGCGAGGAUGCUGUUCAGCCAUGGUGCCCUUCCCUAGACACCAGCAGCCUUCAGGGAGAUGCCUGUGUUCCUGAGAUGCUUGGCUCCGAAGGGCUUCAGGGAAGAACCAGGACAGCGGUGGCACAGGGGGACAAUGCAUCUUGGGAUCCACUUUGGCAAAGCAGAGUGAACAUGUCCAGGACUCCAGAACACUUAAUUGAUUUUUGAGUGUUAAACCAACCUUGCAUACCUGAGAUACAUCACACUUGGUCAUGGUGUAUCAUCCUUUUUAUAUGUUGCUGGAUUUGGUUUGCUAGCAUUUUGUUGAAGGAUUUUACAUUUAUAUUCAUAAGAAACAUUGGUCUGUAGUUUUCUCUUCUUGUGAUAUCUUUGCGUGGUUUUGGUAUCAGAUUGAGGUGGGAUCUACUUCCAGCCUUGCUCCCCACAAUUGAUUUUAAAUUCAGUAUCUAAAAUACAUUCUAAAUGUAAAUCAAGUCUAUCCUGUUCUGACCCCACCUCCAAUGGCUUCCCAUUGCAUGCGCCAUGCAGAGCACUCACCAAGGUCUCUAGUGCCUACCUCUUGACCUUCAUGUCUUGAUACCUCUCUCUUGCUCCUUUGACUGCAGCACACUGGUCUUUUUGAGGUUUUGUCAAUCUGUCAUGCUACUUUCCUCGUUAGGGCCUCUAUCCUUCCAGUUUCCCUUGUCUGAAAUGCCGUGAAUGGCCCCUUCUGAUCAUGCAGGUCUGUACGCAAACAUCAGUUCCCUAAAGGCCUUCUCCAAAGACCGCACCUAAAAUAACCUCUAUUCUAUGGUCACUCUUUACCCAUUACCCUGCUUAAUUUGUUUAAGCACUUAUAUUCUGAUAUCACAUUACUUGUUCACUUAUUUAUGGCUUGUCUCCCCUACUAUAAUGUAAAUUCCAUGAAAGUGUGGAUUUUGUCCUAUUCCAUAAUGGAUCAUCAGUACCUAAGACUGUGAGGGAUGCUUGGUAAAUGCUUAUAAAUGUUUCUUGAAUGAAUGAAGUGCACAAAGAUUUCUGUACAAGGAUAUUCAUCAAAGCAUUAUUUAUAAUAGUAACAUAUUUACAACUACAUAAAUGUCCAACAGUAGAGGAAUUGCCAAAUCAGUUCAAAUAUCCAUAGAAUGGAACAAGAUGUAGUCAUUUAAAAUAAUGGUUUACAUUUUCUAAUGACAUGAAAAAAUUGUAUAAUAUAGUGUGAAAAAUAUGUUACAUCGCCACAUAAUUUGAGCCUAAUUAUAUUUUAUAAUUAUGUAUAUAAAAUAAAAGACAAGCAUCAAAAUCUUAACAGUGACAGUCUUGGGUAGAGAGUUAUGGGUGAUUUCAAUGUUUCUUUUGCAUUUUCUGUAUGUUCUAAAUUUUCCCUGAUAUGCACACAUUAUUUUAUAAUAAAAUUUUUUUAAAUUAUUAUUGUUCUAUAACUUGAAUAUAGCCAAUAGAUAUAUAGUACCUGCCUAUCAUUUUGGAGCAUACAAAUUUUCAAGUGAGA
rnacentral:lncRNA from 1 species